rnacentral:rRNA from 1 species
UGGGGAAUAUUGGACAAUGGGGGGAACCCUGAUCCAGCCAUGCCGCGUGUGUGAAGAAGGCCUUAUGGUUGUAAAGCACUUUAAGCGAGGAGGAGGGUACUGGUAUUAAUACUACCAGGUACUGGACGUUACUCGCAGAAUAAGCACCGGCUAACUCUGUGCCAGCAGCCGCGGUAAUACAGAGGGUGCAAGCGUUAAUCGGAAUUACUGGGCGUAAAGCGCGCGUAGGUGGUUCGUUAAGUUGAAUGUGAAAGCCCCGGGCUCAACCUGGGAAUUGCAUCCAAAACUGGCGAGCUAGAGUAGGGCAGAGGGUGGUGGAAUUUCCUGUGUAGCGGUGAAAUGCGUAGAUAUAGGAAGGAACACCAGUGGCGAAGGCGACCACCUGGGCUCAUACUGACACUGAGGUGCGAAAGCGUGGGGAGCAAACAGG